AAGCAAAUUGACAACAUUUGAAAAAGGAUCAUUGAAAGAAUAUGAGGAAUCACAUAUUGGUGGGAAUGCAAAGUGAGUCCUGCACAGUGAGCGGUGACGCACUGAAUGGUCCAUUUUUCUUUUCUAAAUCCAGGGCUGUGUUUUGCUUCUCAUGGCGCUGAUGGCACAUCUGAAAGGUAGGAGUCUGGGUUUUGCCUGUGGGUGGAUAUUUGCAGUCACAUCUGGCUUUGCUUUGCCGUAUUGUUAACCCCCCUUUUCCCUGCUACAGUUGUUUUCUUUUUAUUAAAUUUCCCGUCUGGAUCCC
rnacentral:lncRNA from 1 species